rnacentral:lncRNA from 1 species
CCGGAUCCGGCCGCGAUUACCUCCCAGCCCCAUUCAUCUCGUUCGUCCGCUCAUCCCGCGAUCACCUCUCCCAUGAAUCAACGUCCAGACCUCCCGCAUCCGCAGCAAGUGUACAGCACCCUCUCCGCGUCCAAGGCCUUGCUACUAGCUCCCGUCCGAGUCCAAUUCCCCCGCGAUUCACUCGUCCACGCUCCAGCUCCCACGAUCGCGAGCCAUCCCAGCGUCCGUGAA